rnacentral:tRNA from 1 species
UCCCUGGUGGUCCAGUGGUUAGGGCUCUGCACUUCCACUGCAGGAAUCAUGGGUUCCAUCCCUGAUUAAAGAA